rnacentral:rRNA from 1 species
UACGUAGGUCCCGAGCGUUGUCCGGACUUAUUGGGCGUAAAGCGAGCGCAGGUGGUUUAUUAAGUCUGGUGUAAAAGGCAGUGGCUCAACCAUUGUAUGCAUUGGAAACUGGUAGACUUGAGUGCAGGAGAGGAGAGUGGAAUUCCAUGUGUAGCGGUGAAAUGCGUAGAUAUUUGGAGGAACACCGGUGGCGAAAGCGGCUCUCUGGCCUGUAACUGACACUGAGGCUCGAAAGCGUGGGGAGCAAACAGG